UACGUAGGGGGCGAGCGUUGUCCGAAUUUACUGGGCGUAAAGCGCGCGUAGGCGGUCAUUUAAGUCCGGGGUGAAAGGUUCAGUGCUCAACGCGAACAGUGCCCUGGAUACUGGGUGACUUGAGUCCGGCAGGGGGUGGCGGAAUUCCUGGUGUAGCGGUGAAAUGCGUAGAUAUUGGGAAGAACACCAGUGGCGAAGGCGGCUAACUGGUCCGAUACUGACGCUGAGGUGCGAAAGCGUGGGGAGCAAACAGG
rnacentral:rRNA from 1 species